UACGUAGGGUCCGAGCGUUGUCCGGAAUUACUGGGCGUAAAGAGCUCGUAGGUGGUUUGUCGCGUUGUCCGUGAAAACUCACAGCUCAACUGUGGGCGUGCGGGCGAUACGGGCAGACUGGAGUACUGCAGGGGAGACUGGAAUUCCUGGUGUAGCGGUGAAAUGACGCAGAGUAUCAGGAGGAACACCGGUGGCGAAGGCGGUUCUCUGGGCAUUAACCUG
rnacentral:rRNA from 1 species